rnacentral:rRNA from 1 species
GAUGAACGCUGGCGGCGUGCCUAAUACAUGCAAGUCGAGCGAACAGAUGAGGAGCUUGCUCCUCUGACGUUAGCGGCGGACGGGUGAGUAACACGUGGAUAACCUACCUAUGAGACUGGGAUAACUUCGGGAAACCGGAGCUAAUACCGGAUAAUAUAUUGAACCGCAUGGUUCAAUAGUGAAAGACGGUUUUGCUGUCACUUAUAGAUGGAUCCGCGCCGCAUUAGCUAGUUGGUAAGGUAACGGCUUACCAAGGCAACGAUGCGUAGCCGACCUGAGAGGGUGAUCGGCCACACUGGAACUGAGACACGGUCCAGACUCCUACGGGAGGCAGCAGUAGGGAAUCUUCCGUAAUGGGCGAAAGCCUGACGGAGCAACGCCGCGUGAGUGAUGAAGGUCUUCGGAUCGUAAAACUCUGUUAUUAGGGAAGAACAAAUGUGUAAGUAACUAUGCACGUCUUGACGGUACCUAAUCAGAAAGCCACGGCUAACUACGUG